rnacentral:rRNA from 1 species
UAGUCCACGCCGUAAACGAUGUCUACUAGCUGUAGGGGUACUUGAGACCUUUGUAGCGCAGCUAACGCACUAAGUAGACCGCCUGGGGAGUACGGCCGCAAGGUUAAAACUCAAAUGAAUUGACGGGGGCCCGCACAAGCGGUGGAGCAUGUGGUUUAAUUCGAUGCAACGCGAAAAACCUUACCUACUCUUGACAUACUUGGAAGCUCUUGUAAUGAGAGUGUGCCUUUUGGAGCCAAGAUACAGGUGCUGCAUGGCUGUCGUCAGCUCGUGUCGUGAGAUGUUCCGUUAAGUCGGAUAACGAGCGCAACCCUUACCCUUAUUUGCCAGCGAUUCGGUCGGGAACUAUAAGGGGACUGCCGGUGAUAAACCGGAGGAAGGUGAGGACGACGUCAAGUCAUCAUGGCCCUUACGAGUAGGGCUACACACGUGCUACAAUGGGGAAUACAAACGGACGCUAAGCCGCGAGGUGGUGCUAAUCCUAGAAAGUUCUUCGUAGUCCGGAUUGGAGUCUGCAACUCGA